UUUUCAUAUCUGAGUUUUUGUUCUUAGUUCUGUUUUGUAUUGAUGCUUGUUUGUGGUUGUUCAUAUUUUUCCGUCUGAGGAUUCUCUGAUUGAAUUUCUUCAUAGCCUAGUUGACAUGGAUAUAUCAUUCCAAAACCUCAAGGAGGCAAGUGAGUCAAUUACUCAAGCAACAUCAAAGCAGUGAGUUUGUUCGGACAUUGGCCAAGCAACUUUUCUGGUACCGUGGAUAAAUGGGUGAAAUUACUUGGAGAAGAGCCAACUAAUUCAAUCAUGGUUGAUGGAGAGGAGAAACAGAGGAUGAGGAAGAAGAUGAUGAUUUCUUUUUCCUGGAUAUUUUUAUUUUGAAAUGACGAUUUUAGCCCUGAAAGUUGGCUCCAUUGUCAGAGUUAACGUCUAAUUUGGACGGAGAGA